rnacentral:rRNA from 1 species
UUAGUUAGUUGGUGGGUAAAGCCUACCAAGACAAUGAUGCAUAGCCGAGUUGAGAGACUGAUCGGCCACAUUGGGACUGAGACACGGCCCAAACUCCUACGGGAGGCUGCAGUAGGGAAUCUUCCACAAUGGGCGAAAGCCUGAUGGAGCAACGCCGCGUGUGUGAUGAAGGCUUUCGGGUCGUAAAGCACUGUUGUAUGGGAAGAAAAGUUAAGGUAGGGAAUGACCUUAGCCUGACGGUACCAUACCAGAAAGGGACGGCUAAAUACGUGCCAGCAGCCGCGGUAAUACGUAUGUCCCGAGCGUUAUCCGGAUUUAUUGGGCGUAAAGCGAGCGCAGACGGUUGGUUAAGUCUGAUGUGAAAGCCCGGAGCUCAACUCCGGAAAGGCAUUGGAAACUGGUUAACUUGAGUGCAGUAGAGGUAAGUGGAACUCCAUGUGUAGCGGUGGAAUGCGUAGAUAUAUGGAAGAACACCAGCGGCGAAGGCGGCUUACUGGACUGUAACUGACGUUGAGGCUCGAAAGUGUGGGUAGCAAACAGGAUUAGAUACCCUGGUAGUCCACACCGUAAACGAUGAACACUAGGUGUUAGGAGGUUUCCGCCUCUUAGUGCCGAAGCUAACGCAUUAAGUGUUCCGCCUGGGGAGUACGACCGCAAGGUUGAAACUCAAAGGAAUUGACGGGGACCCGCACAAGCGGUGGAGCAUGUGGUUUAAUUCGAAGCAACGCGAAGAACCUUACCAGGUCUUGACAUCCUUUGAAGCUUUUAGAAAUAGAAGUGUUCUCUUCGGAGACAAAGUGACAGGUGGUGCAUGGUCGUCGUCAGCUCGUGUCGUGAGAUGUUGGGUUAAGUCCCGCAACGAGCGCAACCCUUAUUGUUAGUUGCCAGCAUUCAGAUGGGCACUCUAGCGAGACUGCCGGUGACAAACCGGAGGAAGGCGGGGACGACGUCAGAUCAUCAUGCCCCUUAUGACCUGGGCUACACACGUGCUACAAUGGCGUAUACAACGAGUUGCCAACCUGCGAAGGUGAGCUAAUCUCUUAAAGUACGUCUCAGUUCGGACUGCAGUCUGCAACUCGACUGCACGAAGUCGGAAUCGCUAGUAAUCGCGGAUCAGCACGCCGCGGUGAAUACGUUCCCGGGUCUUGUACACACCGCCCGUCACACCAUGGAAGUUUGUAAUGCCCAAAGCCGGUGGCCUAACCGUAAGGAGGGAACCGUCUAAGGCAGAC